rnacentral:lncRNA from 1 species
CCCCUUCCUAUUCUCCCUGUAAAAGAGAUGAGUGACACUUUUUCAAGGUAGCCAUAGCUUCGGUAGAACUUCGGUGAAUGCCAAAUACAGAGGAGGAAUUCAGUAACAUCAUAUGGAGGAUCAGUGGAUAGGAACAAUGCCAGCAGAGUACAAUGGUGAUGUACUCCAUAUUUUUUUUAGUUUUUUUUAAGUGAAUAAUCUUGUAGAACCAAAACCUCCAAAGAUAUACCCAAAUAAACAAGUGAUAAAUCAAUGUUUUCACCUGCAUUUAUACUCCAGAAAUUCUUUCCCUGGAGGUGGAGAGCAUUCUUUUUCAUAAGUAAUGGUAGUAUACUCAUAGUGGUAAGAUUCCAAGUCUUGAAAUGGCCAAAUGCAGGAUGGAGCAAUAGCAGUAGAAUCCUUAUACCACUAGCCAGGAAGUAGUUAGGCAUAGUAGCAGGGCUGUGAGGAGGAAAGGUAGUGCAGUAGACAGAGUGCCAAGCCCAGAGUCAGAAAGACCUAAGUUCAAAUUUGGCCACAUUAUUUGUGUGACCCUGGGCAAGUCACUUAACCUCAUUUAUGGUUUGCCAUUUCCUUCUCCAGUCCAUUUUACAGAUAAACAAGUGGUCAGAUUCCUUUCCUGGCUUGAAGGAGACUUUUCCCCUGGAUCCUGCAUCAGGCUUGUUGGGAAUUGGGGAAAUAAAUAAAAACCCAGAAGUUUGGAAGAAUGGACAAGGGAGUCUGAAGAAAUUCCCAUUGGAUUGUCUAAGCUCUUUCAAUGAUUAUUAUUGUUAGAUGUGCUAAAGAACUUACUACUUGGAGCUGAGAUUUAUGAGCCAUGUAAAAGGAUAUGACUACUAAAGUCCUACUCUGAUGUUUCAUUGUGAUUUUGAGAGAUCCCGAGUUCUCAAAGUCUCAGAGGUACAAAUUUUGGCAGUUCCUAACUGCAGGCCUUUUAAUAGGUUUUUACAUCUGGUCCAAGGACCAACCUUGCUAAAAGCAAAGGAUCAGUGUCCUUUUUUGAACUGUAGCAUAGUCACUAUUAAAUGAUAUUAAAAGCUGUAAUUUAAUAAGUCUCACGAGAAAAUGCUUGCUUCCCAAAAAGAGAUUGUAAAUUUAAGGGCUUUUUUCCUGAAGAUAUUUGGGUUAAAAUGAAAAUAUGGUAUGUAAAACAUUAAAAUUUUGUGAAGAUUGAAUUUAGCUCUCCCCUGAUUGUAACAAUGAAGGUAUUUAGCUCUUCCUUUAUUGGGAAGAUUGAAUUGUAAUCCACAAUCUAUUUUUAGAUUUUAAUCCUCAAAAAGGUGAUAACUCAGUAUUUUAAGUAGAUCUACCCAUUUUAACUACAAAAAGGUGUUAAGUAACUACAAAAGGUGAACUAACCCAAAAAAGGCAUUAAGUAACCCAAAAAGGUAUAAUCUAACCAAAGAAGGUGUGAAUUAAAGAGUGGGCAGUCCUGGAGAGGAGCGUCUGCUGUGAUUGGUAGAUGUGAAAUUUAGGGGAGUGACACAAGAGAAAAAGAUCUUUAAAAAAAAAGAGGAUCAGAGGCCAGAAGAAGAUAAUUGAUUCCAGGAGAUCAAAGAGCUCUCUGACUCGGAAGAGAGACUGGAAGACAGACACUUGAGGAAUGACUGGAAGACAGACACCCAGACUUCUUUCCUUUUAGACGGUCACUGUUGGUAAGUGAAAGGCUGACUUAGUGACCUGCCUUUCUCGGAGGUGUAAAACUCUGAGAAAGGCUCAUGGUCUUGAAACCCUUUUCCCUGAUUAGGGCCUUAGUAUUUCUACCUGGCUCAGAGGAAGCCGGAGUUUCCUCUCUCUCUCUCUCUCUCUCUCUCUCUCUCUCUCUCUCUCUCUCUCUCUCUCUCUCUCUCUCUCUCUCUCUCUCUCUCUCUCAUUCCUUAAUAUCUUCCCUCUAUUGUAAAUAAAAUACCAUAAAUUCCAUUUACUUUAGUAAUU